CGGAUGACGGGAGCUUGCUCCUUGAUUCAGCGGCGGACGGGUGAGUAAUGCCUAGGAAUCUGCCUGGUAGUGGGGGACAACGUUUCGAAAGGAACGCUAAUACCGCAUACGUCCUACGGGAGAAAGCAGGGGACCUUCGGGCCUUGCGCUAUCAGAUGAGCCUAGGUCGGAUUAGCUAGUUGGUGAGGUAAUGGCUCACCAAGGCGACGAUCCGUAACUGGUCUGAGAGGAUGAUCAGUCACACUGGAACUGAGACACGGUCCAGACUCCUACGGGAGGCAGCAGUGGGGAAUAUUGGACAAUGGGCGAAAGCCUGAUCCAGCCAUGCCGCGUGUGUGAAGAAGGUCUUCGGAUUGUAAAGCACUUUAAGUUGGGAGGAAGGGCAGUAAGCUAAUACCUUGCUGUUUUGACGUUACCGACAGAAUAAGCACCGGCUAACUCUGUGCCAGCAGCCGCGGUAAUACAGAGGGUGCAAGCGUUAAUCGGAAUUACUGGGCGUAAAGCGCGCGUAGGUGGUUCGUUAAGUUGG
rnacentral:rRNA from 1 species